rnacentral:rRNA from 1 species
UACGAAGGGUGCAAGCGUUACUCGGAAUCACUGGGCGUAAAGCGUGCGUAGGCGGUUUGUUAAGUCCGUUGUGAAAGCCCUGGGCUCAACCUGGGAAUUGCAGUGGAUACUGGCGAGCUAGAGUGCGGUAGAGGAUGGUGGAAUUCCCGGUGUAGCGGUGAAAUGCGUAGAGAUCGGGAGGAACACCCGUGGCGAAGGCGGCCAUCUGGACCAGCACUGACGCUGAGGCACGAAAGCGUGGGGAGCAAACAGG